ACACUGUCAUAUUGACAGAUAUGCAACAUUAUUUUUUCCAGUCAAGGGCUAACAACCUUGACCACCGUUCGGUCCAAUUUGGUUCGUAAAUUUCAAAUAGAAAGUACACAAUCACAACUCUAACAUGACUGACAAAAAAGAUAAAUCAGAUAGACUUAUAACGGCAGACGAAGUUAAAAGGCACAAUACCAGAAAAAGCGUGUGGAUGGUCAUCCGAAAUGACGUUUACGAUGUUACUUCCUACAUCGAUGAGCACCCUGGCGGAGAAGACCCACUACUGGAGGCUGCGGGACAAGAUGCCACAAUCGCUUUUGAGGAUAUUGGUCACAGUGAAGAUGCCAGAACAAUAAUGAAAAAAUAUAAAAUUGGUAGACUAGCACCAGGUGAAAGCUGUUGUAAAAUGAGAGCUAAAGUAUGGAGGCCAAGUUCAGUAUAUCACCGAAACUGCACGGAAUGUGAAGCCAGCAGUUGUCCAAAUAUUAUCAAACCUGGUACAAGCGAUGACAAGUCGUGGCGAACGUUUGAUGGUGCUCCUAUCAGCCGAAAGUCGUCACACAAAUGUGCUUAUAAGGCUCCCAUCCAGCCUAGAGUGGAAAGAAGAAUUCAACAUAUUGUGGUGCCUCGUGAAAGACGGCCUCGAGGUCCACCCUGUGGAGAAAGGUUCCUAAUCCUAAAUAUACAUUUACUUAGAAGUAGGAAACUCAUACUUGGUUUAGAGUAGAUAAGCAUAGUUUGUGAUAGGUAGUUAUAUAUUUCUUCACGCUCGUAAUUCUCUUGCGGUAGCUAGCAGAACUCUAAGUGACAUGAUACAAUUAUGAAGUUGGGAUUUCAGCAAAAAAUAAUAAAAAUAAAAUUUUAAUGCAAUCGAAAAAUAAUAUCAGAUAGGUAUGCUUCCGAUAUCCGAUAGCACAUAAACUUUGUUAUUUUAUAAUUGAAAUAAAAUUUGAUUUUAAAUAAAAAACUGGUUCGCCACUACUUUUCAUUGUUGAGUACCUACUAAAAUAAAGAAGUCCAUAGUGCUUGAUACUACCUGGUAUAAAAUACUAGGUAGUAUUUUGUACCUGUUAUGAAAAAUAGCUAGGUGAUACUAAAAAGUGUGCUUUUUUCCCGGAGAUCUGCAGUUCCUGUAAGACUACGAGCUUGAAGAUUUGUAUAAUGUUGAGUUUGUUUGUGUUUAAAGGCGUGGCAAGCCUUGUAGGCCAACGCCGCCGCCUCCGCCGCCCCCAGAUAACCGGGGUUCACGGCUGAAAUGGGCGUUACUGGCUUUGGGGGCUGCUAUACUCAUCGGAAUUGCGUACAAAAAAUACGCAACAUAAACUGGAAGAAAAAACACACAGUUGGGGUCCAAAAAAACUGGUGAAACCAGUUGAGGCCUAGUGUAAGCCUAACUUUGUAGGUACACUCGACAAUGACCAUUGUUAAUCAAUUUUAAACCAUAUACUGUAGGUAAUAAUAGGGUUGAGAAUUGAUCAAUUAUGAUCAUUUUCGAGUGUACCUUGGACAAGAAAUUACUUCUGAGGAAUAUUCGUUAUAGUAUGUUUCUUUAGUCUUAGCUCAAUUUUUUUUCACAUGUAAUUGAUUUUUAGUAUACAGUUUUAAGGUAGCUGUAUGUAGAGUUAUAUUCCAAUGUUUCAAAUCGCGCUGUCCAGGUUUAAUUAAUAUUAUGUGCAUUUAUUAGGCGUCUAACUUCUGUGAUUCUUGUCUGUUGUUCUUUGGAACAGUUAUUUAAUACCUGUUCUUUAAAAUGGUGCUUAAUUUUAACCAUAACGUUCCAUUGAUAUUUUGUUGAGUUUUAUUAAAUUGUCACGUGUUAUUAAUUCUUAUAAAAUUUACCAAUAAGAGAAAUAUAAAAUAUGUAAAAAUCCGUUUUUAAAGCUUACAUUACCAAAGGAAUAAUAAUUCUGUAAUCAGCGUGAAAGUAUAAUUUAUUUAUUUGAAACUGUUUUGCAUUUUGAAUUGUUCAACUAUACUGUCGCGUUUAUUUUGUGAUAACCAUGUUUUGUACAAAUCUUUUUAUACAACUGUUACAAUUUUUCUGAUUUUAUUAUGACAUGAUGCAAUAAAGUAGUAAAUAGUGAAA